rnacentral:snRNA from 2 species
AGCUUUUACAGUGGCAGUAUCAUAGCCAAUGAGGUUUAUCUGAGGCAUGAUUAUUGCUAAUUGAAAACUUUAUUUCUUGGGAAAAUAGAAUAUAGCUAUAUCGCUGACAUAGAUGCCCAAGUUACUGUUUUAAAAUAAGUUUA